UAUUGAGGUUACUGCUGAUAAUUAAUGGUUAUAUCAUUCUGGACCAUUGAAUGAAUUAUGCUUGGAGGAAAUUCUUAGAGAAUAAGGGAUAGAGAUUCGAUGUGGUGGUUAUUGGAGAUGAGAUAUGAUUGAGGCAUUGCAGAUUUGUGUUCUUUUUCUUGAGUUGAUAUGAUUUCUAAGUGUUAUAAGAAUAUUUGAGAUUUGACUUUUGAAAAUGUGAAUUUUGUUUAUUUCUUUUGAAUCCAUAAGAAGCAUAUUGUUUUUAUAUUGCUUAUGGAUAAAUGAUGUUGCUAUGAGGAUUUUUUUCCCUUCUUUUGAACACUUUGGAUAUAAUAAAAAAAAAAAUACAUUAAAUUAAAUUUUCACGUGUGGUUUUAUAAACUUUUGAUGAACAAAAAGAUUGUUUUAUAAAUGAAAAUGAAUUCAUUUGUAUAGAUUCAUGAACUAUGAAGUAUACUGGUUUACGAAGUAAACAAUGAAAAUGACAUUUAUAUAUAAUUUAAGUAUGGAAGAUGAAGUGUGAACUUGUAUGGUUGUGUGGGCAAAAGAUAUGUUAAGUUAUGCAUGGUUAAGAUUAUAAAUGUUAAGUUGAAGUUAACUGAUGAAAGUAUAUUAUUUUUAUUUAAUACUUGUUGAUUGUGAAAUGCAUACAUAAAAUGCAUGAAUGUGUCUAUAUGUGCCUGUAGAAGGAGUAUGGUGAGAAUGAGUUGCUAGUAUUAUCUAAUAAGAAAAUUAAAUGAUGUGGAUUUAUGGACAAUAGAAUCUAUUUAGAGUAUCGAUUUUAAUAUAUGCACUUGAUGAAGUUUACAUGAUUUUGGCUAAUGGCAUUUAGUAUGACUAUUGUGAUCAGCAUUCUUUUGGACAAAAUUGGUGUAUUUACAUAAUGGAUAUUUAUAAGGUUUAAAUGAUGAAUAAUUUGAUGUGACUUGCUAUAAUAAUGAGUGAUGAGUAUUUUUCAUAAGAAAUAAUGCUGGUGGAAUAAAACAUUAUUUCAAGCCAUUUAUGAGAAGUGAUUUCUAUUUAUGAGCAAUAAUUACUACUUGGUGGAGUAAAGUAUAUUGUNN
rnacentral:lncRNA from 1 species